rnacentral:tRNA from 1 species
GCACCGAUGGUUUAAUGGUAGAAUAGAAGCUUGCCAAGCUUUUGACCUGGGUUCGAUUCCCAGUCGGUGCA